rnacentral:rRNA from 1 species
UACAGAGGGUGCGAGCGUUAAUCGGAAUUACUGGGCGUAAAGCGCACGUAGGCGGCUUGGUAUGUCGGGUGUGAAAUCCCCGGGCUCAACCUGGGAACUGCAUCCGAAACUGCCUUGCUAGAGUAUGGGAGAGGGAAGUGGAAUUUCCGGUGUAGCGGUGAAAUGCGUAGAUAUCGGAAGGAACAUCAGUGGCGAAGGCGGGUCUCUGGGCCGAUACUGACGCUGAGGAGCGAAAGCGAUGGGGAGCGACGGGA